AUUAUCAGGAGCCCUGCAGA
rnacentral:piRNA from 1 species